AGGCAAUCCAGGCUUUGGGGGGAAUUCGAGGCAGGCACUUAUCCAGGGAGACUCCUGGGGGACUCGGGCUAUCCUCUCAGGCCGUGGCUGAUGACUCCAUACCUCAACCCAGCCAAUAACCACGAAGAGCGCUACAACUCAGCGCACCUAAAAAACAGGAAUGCGGUGGAGAGGUGUAUUGGAGUUCUUAAAAAGCGCUGGGCGUGUCUGCAUAGAGGCAUAAUAAUGGAACCAGAUAGAGCUGCGGUUGUAGCUGGUGCCUGUGUGGUGCUGCAUAAUGCCAUGGCAUGGAAUGUACCACUGAUGGAAAAUGCUGCUGCUGAUGAUGAUGAUGAUGAUGGUGACCUGCAUGUUCCCCGAGGCCUGACCAUGUCUGACCGCCAGGCUCGCAAGAAAAAC
ensembl:lncRNA